AGAUUGAACGCUGGCGGAAUGCUUUACACAUGCAAGUCGAGCGGCAGCGCGGGGCAACCUGGCGGCGAGCGGCGAACGGGUGAGUAAUGCAUCGGAACAUGUCCAUUCGUGGGGGAUAGCCCGGCGAAAGCCGGAUUAAUACCGCAUACGCCCUGAGGGGGAAAGCGGGGGACUUCGCGAAGAGGCCUCGCGCGAAUGGGUUGCCGAUGUCCGAUUAGCUAGUUGGUGGGUAAAGGCUUACCAAGGCGAUGAUCGGUAGCUGGUCUGAGAGGAUGAUCAGCCACACUGGGACUGAGACACGGCCCAGACUCCUACGGAGGCAGCAGUGGGGAAUUUGGACAAUGGGGGCAACCUGAUCCAGCCAUUCCGCGUGAGUGAAGAAGGCCUCGGUGUAAAGCUACUUUGCCGAAGUAAACGGUUAGACGUGAAUAUCGCUGACUACUUGACGGUUACCGGAAGAAGUAAGCGACCGG
rnacentral:rRNA from 1 species